GUACCCGCCUCGCUAACUACUACCUCCCUCCGACUAACCAUCGGCUUCGAAUACCGUCUCGAUCACACAGUGGGGGUAACAUUAAGGACGAAGUUUUGGAAACACGUCUCGACUCACGUCUCGAUCGAGCUGACGACUGACUUCCACCACACCUCGUCAGUUUCACUCACUUCUCGCAGUUGGAGCCAUCCUCCUUCCUGCUGCCUGGCUUCGGUUACAUCGACAUACUCGCUAAAGGGAAGCAAUGCAAGAGCGAACCAAGAGAGUGCUUGCCUGAUAUUCUCAAGGCUGGAGAAGGGAUGGAAGACUGAGAGGACAGCAGAGGUAAGGAGAUGUGGAAAGGAGACGAAAAAAAAAAAAAAACAGGGAAAGGAGCAAAAGGAAGACUGAAGUUUUAGGGGACAGAGAAAAGAAUCUCGUUGCCCGGGUCUUGCGUGGCUUGUGGACAUUCCAGCGCCGAGUGACGGAUGGCCCGAGCACCUAACCAACAUGUUUUACCAGCAAUACCACACACCUUUUUGGGGAGAGACACCUGCUGCGCCCAGUAGAUAUACAAAAGAAGAAGAAGAAGAAGAAGAAGAGCAGGGGGAGAGAAAGAAAAAAAAAAAAAACCGUGGACGUAAGAGACGUUCGGCAGGAUGGGUCGCUCCUCGUUCAUGUUGCUGGAGAGCUUCACUGAUGAGCGAGCAGUUACUGUCCUUCCUCCGCAAGACGAUGGGGUGUGUGGAGUGUGUGAAAGGUCUCAGCCUUACCCAUAUAUGAAAUACAUGAAUUUUUCAAGCUUACACCUUGAGGCUUCAGCUGCCGAUCACGGGUUCAGCACGUGAGCCGCAACGUGUGCCAAUUACACACACACACACACACACACACACACACUCACCCAUUCACUCAUUAUCUUCGUUAUUUACUGAACGUUUUAUUGAUUUGCUCCUGUAUUCUUCCAUGCUCUCUCUCUCUCUCUCUCUCUCUCUCUCUCUCUCUCUCUCUCUCUCUCUCUCUCUCUCUCUCUCUCUCUCUCUCUCUCUCUCUCUCUCUCUCUCUCUCUCUUUACAGAUACAUAACGAAUAUCUUCACACUUAUAUUACACGCUUUUAUAAAUCUACUGCUAUCUUACUUAUAUAUUUUCCACACCGAUAAGUUAUUAUAUCUUUACAGUGCACUUCCUGAAAUCUUUCAUGUUUACUUUUGUGUCAAAUUUCUUACAGAUUUACGUCUUAUUUACGUCUUAUUGUUCUAACAUUUUUUAUGUCCAUUAUUUCCACCGUUGAUAUGUCAACUUUGUACUGAACAUCCACCUCCUAACCUACCUCAUUUUCUUUUAUGUGUCUCUGCCAGUGAACCUGCGUCGUAAACCUGAAAGAAUGUACCUCGCUGCAA